UGGUGAUGGUGACGACGGACCGAACGGCGAUGGUGGUCGGUGAGAGGGAGAGACACGGAUGUAGGGGGAAGCAUGAGAGAAGCUACUAGGCCGAAGUGAGGGGGGGCAACUCGGAAGAAAAUAGAUUUCAGAUGGGAUGUGAAGGAAUGCAUGGUAUUAGCGACGAAAUUUAUCGUCGCUAAUAAGAAAUAUUCAUCGCUAAUAAUUUGAACAAAAAAAUUUGCGAU
rnacentral:lncRNA from 1 species